GGUACUAUAGUGUAGUGGUUAUCACUCGGGAUUUUGAUUUCAACAUAUUCCCGGAACCCAGGUUCGAACCCUGGUAGUACCU